GACGAACCGUGCGAACGUUAUUCGGAAUCACUGGGCUUAAAGCGCGUGUAGGUGGGACGGCACGUCGGCCGCUGAAAUCCCCCGGCUCAACCGGGGAAGUGGCGCCGAUACGACCGACCUCGAGGGGGGUAGGGGGAGCCGGAACUUCCGGUGGAGCGGUGAAAUGCGUUGAGAUCGGAAGGAACGCCCGUGGCGAAAGCGGGCUCCUGGACCCCACCUGACACUGAGACGCGAAAGCCAGGGUAGCGAACGGGAUUAGAAACCCCAGUAGUCC
rnacentral:rRNA from 1 species